UACGUAGGGUGCGAGCGUUAAUCGGAAUUACUGGGCGUAAAGCGUGCGCAGGCGGUUCGCUGUGUCCGAUGUGAAAGCCCCCGGGCUUAACCUGGGAAUGGCAUUGGAAACUGGCGGGCUUGAGUGUGGCAGAGGGGGGUGGAAUUCCGCGUGUAGCAGUGAAAUGCGUAGAGAUGCGGAGGAACACCGAUGGCGAAGGCAGCCCCCUGGGCCAACACUGACGCUCAGGCACGAAAGCGUGGGGAGCAAACAGG
rnacentral:rRNA from 1 species